AAACAUAACGAAAGCUCUAGGUUUCAGUUUCACUUUGAUGUGUCCGUCUACCACUGCUCAUGAGUCAUGAGUAGUAGUUACUAUAUUUGGGUUAUUAAUUGUGUAUAGAAGGAUUUAAAUAGGAUUCAAAAUAUUGAAGAUUGGCUAUAAUAUCGGUGCGUUUAGCUAUUGUGAGAUUGUUGAAGUGUAUCGAAAUAAGAAGUGUAUUAUUUUUAUGACGUAAUUGUCAGUUGAUUUUUGGAGGGAAUUUCUUCAUUACUAAAUCAGCUAGAUUAAACUUUUGGAUUAUUAAAAUUUAAAUAAUAAUAGAUCAAUAGGGAUAUAAAUGGAUGCAUUUCUUAAAACUGGCAAGAUAGGAGUAUCCAAGGAUACUUCUGCCCCAAAAGCAUCCAAGGUCUCAAAAGGCCCAGCUCCAUGGGUUGAAAAAUACAGACCUAAAACAGUAGAUGAUGUUGCCUACCAGGAUGAGGUUAUAUUAGUCCUUAAGAAGUCAUUACAGGGAGCGGAUCUUCCCAAUCUUUUAUUUUAUGGACCCCCAGGUACCGGCAAAACAUCAACCAUACUAGCAGCUUGUCGUGAAUUGUUCGGAGAUGCAUACAAGGAUCGUAUUCUAGAGUUAAAUGCUUCCGAUGAACGAGGAAUAUCAGUUGUCAGACAUAAAAUAAAGAAUUUUGCUCGACUAACGGCCGGAGGAACUCUUCCAAAUGGGAAGUCCUGUCCUCCUUUUAAAGUUAUCAUUCUGGACGAAGCGGAUUCGAUGACAAAGGAUGCACAGUCUGCUCUUCGUAGAACUAUGGAAAAGGAAGGAAAGUCCACAAAGUUUUGUCUUAUUUGUAAUUAUGUUUCACGAAUAAUUGAGCCUCUAACAUCUCGUUGUGCCAAAUUCCGUUUUAAGCCCCUCGAAAAAAGCAUUCUUGCUAAGCGUUUGAAGUUUAUAGCUGAAAAGGAAAUGCUUAAUAUUAAGGACACCAAGGCUAUUGAUGCAUUUAUACAGACUUCAGAGGGUGAUCUUCGUCGCGCUAUUACCUCCCUUCAAUCAUGCAGUCGAUUUUCAGCUGGUAAACCCAUCACAGAGGAAAUUAUAUUGGAAACUGCGGGUGUUAUACCCGAUGAAUGGAUUUCAUUACUUAAAAAGGCAUGUGUUUCUAAUUCAUAUGAAAAAAUCGAAUCAUUUGUUGAUGAUCUCAUAGCUGAAGGUUAUUCUGCCUAUCAAUUAUUCAUUCAAAUUCAUGAAUGGGUAAUGUCCUCCGAAGAUCAUGACUUUAAGGAUUUAGGAAAGGCUAAAAUAGCUGAGGCACUUGCUGUGAAUGAACAUAGACUCUUGGAAGGAUCGAAUGAAUAUCUUCAAAUAAUGGAUCUAUGUUGUGUGAUUAUGAAAGAGAUGAAUAAGUGAUGUUUUUAUAUUGAUACGAUUUGGUGUAUGUAAAGCUCAUGUCAUGAGGCUUAACAACUCAAUCCCAUGGAAAUUUUAAAGUAUGUAGAUCUUUCAAGGACCUAUUAUAUUUAUAUAUCAUGUUAUUUAUUAUCUUCGUCAAUUGAAAUGCAUUUUAGAUGGGAGAUGCACGUUAGGGCGGGUUAUUUUUUAACUUUUUUGAAUUUAUAUGACGGAAGAGUUGUCAUGCGGUAAGAAAAAACCUAUGCAAAUUUGUAUUGUACUACGAUGAAAUCUUUAGAUUUCAUAUCUUUGAGCAACAAAGGCGGAAAUUAUGUAUUUUAUCAAUUAAUAUUAAAGUAUAACAUUGUUUGUUAUUUUGCAUAAAACAAUUUUGAUAGACAUUUUUUAAUCUAUAUAUCACAUAUUAAUGAAGUUAUUUUCUAAAGUCACCAUGUGGAGCUAAAAGAAAUAAUAGGGUAACGAAAUUUAAAACAUUUAUUUUGAUCCUGCCUAUCCGAAAAAGGAAAAAAAAGUUAUGCUUGCUAUAAGAAGUUCAUCCAGAUUUAUCUAUCGAUUUUCUCCAAAGGUGACUUCACAAAAAAUAACUUUAUAAAUAUUUGAUUUUUUUCUUACCACAUGACAACUCUUCCGCACUAGCUGUGAUCGAAAUUCAAAAGAAGUUGGAAGACAAACCACCCUAAAUUUAUAUUCUAGUAAAAAGUAACAUCAACAAAUUAAUGUAGGUGAUGUUAAUGAGUAACGCAGUAUGUUUGCAUAAUAUAUCAAAUCAUAUAGAUCUUGUCUUAAAUUGUAAAUGGAUGGAGUUGGUGAGAUGUGACAUCUCUUAUUGGAUUUGUUAAAAAAAGGAACAACCAAACACUUAUACUUACAAAUACUUAUACAUGAUAUGUAAUAAAUGCUUGAUUACAUUUCUAA
rnacentral:misc_RNA from 1 species